GACGAACGCUGGCGGCGUGCUUAACACAUGCAAGUCGAACGGGUCUGCCCUGUUUUUUGCGGGGUGGGUCAGUGGCGAACGGGUGAGUAACACGUGAGUAACCUGCCCCUCACUUCUGGAUAACCGCUUGAAAGGGUGGCUAAUACGGGGUGUUCUGGCUGUGCCGCAUGGUGUGGCUGGGAAAGAUUCACUUUUGUGGUGUUUUGGUGGGGGUUGGCCUGCGGCCUAUUAGCCUGUUGGUGGGGUGAUGGCCUGGCAAGGCUUUGACGGGUAGCCGGCCUGAGAGGGUGGGCGGUCACACUGGGACUGAGAUACGGCCCAGACUCCUGCGGGAGGCAGCAGUGGGGGGUAUUGCACAAUGGGCGGAAGCCUGAUGCAGCGACGUCGCGUGAGGGAUGGAGGCCUUCGGGUUGUGAACCUCUUUCGCCGGUGAAGAAGGUCCUGCUCUUUGUGGUGGGGUUGACGGUAGCCGGGUUAUGAAGCGCCGGCUAACUACGUG
rnacentral:rRNA from 1 species